rnacentral:rRNA from 1 species
CAGCAGCCGCGGUAAUACAGAGGUCUCAAGCGUUGUUCGGAUUCAUUGGGCGUAAAGGGAGCGUAGGCGGUCGGGUAAGUUGGAUGUGAAAUCCUGGGGCUCAACCUCAGAACUGCAUUCAAUACUGCUUGGCUAGAGUACUGGAGAGGUGAGUGGAAUUCACGGUGUAGCAGUGAAAUGCGUAGAUAUCGUGAGGAAGACCAGCGGCGAAGGCGGCUCACUGGACAGUUACUGACGCUGAUGCUCGAAGGCCAGGGGAGCAAACGGGAUUAGAUACCCCAGUAGUCCCUGUCUCUUAUAC